rnacentral:rRNA from 1 species
GAUGAACGCUGGCGGCGUGCCUAAUACAUGCAAGUAGAACGCUGAAGGAGGAGCUUGCUCUUCUGGAUGAGUUGCGAACGGGUGAGUAACGCGUAGGUAACCUGCCUGGUAGCGGGGGAUAACUAUUGGAAACGAUAGCUAAUACCGCAUGACAACAGUUAUUGCAUGAUAACUGUUUAAAAGGGGCAACUGCUCCACUACCAGAUGGACCUGCGUUGUAUUAGCUAGUUGGUGAGGUAACGGCUCACCAAGGCGACGAUACAUAGCCGACCUGAGAGGGGGAUCGGCCACACUGGGACUGAGACACGGCCCAGACUCCUACGGGAGGCAGCAGUAGGGAAUCUUCGGCAAUGGACGGAAGUCUGACCGAGCAACGCCGCGGGAGUGAAGAAGGGUGUCGGAUCGUAAAGCUCUGUUGUAAGAGAAGAACGAGUGUGAGAGUGGAAAGUUCACACUGUGACGGUAUCUUACCAGAAAGGGACGGCUAACUACGUG